rnacentral:misc_RNA from 1 species
GAUGAAGAACGUAGCGAAAUGCGAUAAGUAAUGUGAAUUGCAGAAUUCAGUGAAUCAUCGAAUCUUUGAACGCAUCUUGCGCUCCUUGGUAUUCCUUGGAGCAUGCCUGUUUGAGUAUCAUGAGCAAAUCUCAAAGUCAAUUCCUUUUGUUGAUUCAAUUGGUUUUGCUUUGGACUUGGAGGCCUUGCAGAUUUCACAGUCUGCUCCUCUUAAAUGCAUUAGCUGGAUCUCAGUAAUUAUGCUUGGGUCCACUCGGCGUGAUAAGUAUCACUCGCUGAGGACACUGUUAAAAAGGUGGCCAGGAAAAUACUGAUUGAACCGCUUCUAACGGUCUAUUAAGUUAGACAAUUACCCUUAAGUUUGAUCUCAAAUCAGGUAGGACUACCCGCUGAACUUAAGCAUAUCAAUAAGCGGAGGA